UCGAGCGAACAGAUGAGAAGCUUGCUUCUCUGAUGUUAGCGGCGGACGGGUGAGUAACACGUGGGUAACCUACCUAUAAGACUGGGAUAACUCCGGGAAACCGGGGCUAAUACCGGAUAAUAUAUUGAACCGCAUGGUUCAAUGUUGAAAGACGGUUUCGGCUGUCACUUAUAGAUGGACCCGCGCCGUAUUAGCUAGUUGGUAAGGUAACGGCUUACCAAGGCAACGAUACGUAGCCGACCUGAGAGGGUGAUCGGCCACACUGGAACUGAGACACGGUCCAGACUCCUACGGGAGGCAGCAGUAGGGAAUCUUCCGCAAUGGGCGAAAGCCUGACGGAGCAACGCCGCGUGAGUGAUGAAGGUCUUAGGAUCGUAAAACUCUGUUGUUAGGGAAGAACAAAUUUGUUAGUAACUGAACAAGUCUUGACGGUACCUAACCAGAAAGCCACGGCUAACUACGUGCCAGCAGCCGCGGUAAUACGUAGGUGGCAAGCGUUAUCCGGAAUUAUUGGGCGUAAAGCGCGCGUAGGCGGUUUCUUAAGUCUGAUGUGAAAGCCCACGGCUCAACCGUGGAGGGUCAUUGGAAACUGGGGAACUUGAGUGCAGAAGAGGAGAGUGGAAUUCCAUGUGUAGCGGUGAAAUGCGCAGAGAUAUGGGAGGAACACCAGUGGGCGAAGGCGGCUCUCUGGUCUGUAACUGACGCUGAUGUGCGAAAGCGUGGGGAUCAAACAGGAUUAGAUACCCUGGUAGUCCCCCGCCAUAAACAAUGAGUGCUAAGUGUUGGGGGGGGUUCCCCCCCCUUAUUGUGCUGCCUA
rnacentral:rRNA from 1 species